rnacentral:RNase_P_RNA from 1 species
CGAGCCGGCCGGGCGGCCGCGGCGGGGUGCACGCACCUCCGUCGAGGAAGGUCCGGGCUCCACAGGGCAGGAUGGUGGGUAACACCCACCCGGGGUGACCCGCGGGAAAGUGCCACAGAAAGCAGACCGCCGGGAGACGUCCCAGGACGCUUCCCGGUAAGGGUGAAACGGUGGUGUAAGAGACCACCAGCGCCCAGGGUGACCUGGGCGGCUCGGUAAACCCCAUCCGGAGCAAGGUCAAGAGGAGCCACACCGUGGCUCUGCGCGGAUGUCCGAGGGCGGCCCGCCCGAGUCCGCGGGUAGACCGCACGAGGCCGGUGGCAACACCGGUCCCAGAUGGAUGGCCGCCUCCCCCGGCACAGCCCGGGGAGACAGAACCCGGCCUACAGGCCGACUCGUCCG